rnacentral:tRNA from 2 species
GUCGAUGUGGUGAAAUUGGUAGACACGCUAUCUUGAGGGGGUAGUAGAGAAAUCUGUGCGGGUUCAAAUCCCGCCAUCGACACCA